rnacentral:rRNA from 1 species
UCCUACGGGGCGCAGCAGUAGGGAAUCUUCCACAAUGGGCGCAAGCCUGAUGGAGCAACACCGCGUGAGUGAAGAAGGGUUUCGGCUCGUAAAGCUCUGUUGUUAAAGAAGAACACGUAUGAGAGUAACUGUUCAUACGUUGACGGUAUUUAACCAGAAAGUCACGGCUAACUACGUGCCAGCAGCCGCGGUAAUACGUAGGUGGCAAGCGUUAUCCGGAUUUAUUGGGCGUAAAGAGAGUGCAGGCGGGUUUCUAAGUCUGAU